AUUUCAGUUUCGCCCUAUUCACCCCCCCUCUAGGCGACUAUCAAAACUUGAUUAAUUAUGUUAUUCAAUUGCUGAAAAUGGUUCUUUAUCAUAUCCGAUGGAUAUCCAAUGGAUAUUCGAAACCGGAUGGACAUGGAUAUGUAUAUGAAUUUCUACCCGCGGAUAUAGUCACGGGUGGAUAUUAUCUAUGAUCGUGGAUAUGACUGCGGGCGGAUAUUUCAAAUAUCCGAUCCGAAUCUGAUCCGUUGCCAUCCCUGGUUGUUCCUGUUUUAAUAAAAAAAAUGUAAUAUCUAUGGGCUACGAAUCAUAUCGAAGCUCAUCAAGUUAAAAAAAAUGCGAGAUGCAGCAUCAGUCAAUAAAGGAUCGCCUAGUCAUAGUGCAUACUCAUCUUUUCUCGGAUGUGCAGCAGAGCACUCCAGCACACUCAUCUUUUUGUCUGAUGUGUGUCAUGUCAGCUAUUGGCAUUAUUCAGUCAGCAACAUAGUUAUCCUUUUUUCAGAUGCGUAUCACUUUUGACACCAUAAAAAUACGAACCCCGAAUAUGGUACAGCAGUACCACUUUGACGAAACCGAUGGAAGAUGCAGGCGUAGUACACUACUGUAUAACGAAGCAGGCUGUGAUUGCGAUGACUUGGUUGAGUCAAUGCGAGUCCGAAAGGGCACGUCCGCGCCACCACGGACCAUGGUUGGCGGCGCCUGCGAGACACGGUGUCCGACUCGAUUCGGUCACGACGCCUCCAAAUAAAUAACGGGGCAGCAGUUGUGUGCAUCGCCAACUUUGCCCGAUCGUCGUCGUCGUCGUCGUCCCGUACGUACGUGCUCUAGCUAACCGUAGCGUCGGCCGGCGGUCGCGUGGGCAGGGCAGCGGGCAACGGAGGGCGGCACCGGCAUGGACAGGAUCCUGGCCAUGUCCCUCGUCGGUGCGGGGCCAGGCAACGUCUUCGGCCCGGGCAUGAGCGCCGGCGCGCUGGAGAGCUUCGCACGCCCCGCGGGGCGCGCCAGGACGGAGCGCAGCGGCGGCAGGGGUGGCGCGGCGGCGCGGGGCGCAAGGUCGGCGUCGGCGGAGAAGUGCGGCGCCGACCAGAUCAGGACGGGUGCGGCGGAGGCUGACGGUGCCGGUGGCCAGGAGGGGGGCGCCGCCGGUGCGGACGCGGCGCGGUACUGCCCGGCGGCGUUGGACCGCGGGUUCUGCUUCGACGCCGUCGUCGCACCGUACUGACAUGCGCGCCGCCACGUGGCGCAAGUUCUCGGCGAGUUCUUGUUUGGACGCGAUAGGGGGUGUUUCGUCACCCCAAACUAAAAUUUAGUCCAUGUCCCAUCAUCGAAUGUUUGAACCUCCGUUCCGGGUAUUAAAUGUAGUCGGAUUAUAAAACUAAUUUGUCAGCCGAAGAUUAAAAGACGAGACGAAUCUAGUCCAGUUGGUUGGGUCUAUAUUUCAUACUCCUAUUUAAAAGUCAAACGUUUGAUGUGACCCGGGCUAAACUUUAGCAGGAGUAUCCAAACACCCCCCGACAAUACCGACGCCAACUACUUCUUUCUCAUUAAUUUCUCAAGCAGUUCGGGUUCUUUUUUUUUGGGGAAAAGAAAUGAAGAGAGUCCUUUUUCAUUCACUAAUUCACAUUUUCUGAUCAGACUUUAGAAUUUGAUGAACAAUCUCCCUCAACUCUCAAAUUUGAUUUGAUGAACUAUCUCCCUUGUUGAGCACUUAAUCUCAAUCCGAUGAAGAUAUUGAAAAUCAAGUCAAUAAAA